ACAAAAAAUUACCCGGGCGUGGUGGCAGG
rnacentral:piRNA from 1 species